rnacentral:rRNA from 1 species
AUCUAACAUGGCAGUGAAGUUGAGUAAGCAUCAACUGGAGGACCGAACCGAGCUAAGUUGAUGAAAAUUGAUCGGAUGACUUGUGGCUAGGGGUGAAAGGCCAAUCAAACCGAGAGAUAGCCUGGUUUCCCCGUAAAGCUAUUUAGGGUAGCGGCCUCUGACGAUAGUACUACUGGGGGUAAGCACUGGUUAAGUUGUCUAUGGUUGUUUCAUCCCGACUACACCUUUGCAAACUCCGAAUACCAGUAAAGUACUAUCCGGGAGACACACCGGCGGGUGCUAACGUCCGUCGUGGAGAGGGAAACAACAGACCGCCAGCUAAGGUCCAAAUUACUACUAAGUGGGAAACGAGUGGGAAGGCUCAGACAGCCAGGAUGUUGGCUUAGAAGCAGCCAUCAUUUAAAGAAAGCGUAAUAGCUCACUGGUCGAGUCGGCCCUGGCGGAAGAUGUAACGGGGCUAAGUAGUAAACCGAGCUGCGGCAAUAUACUUUUGUAUAUUGGGUAGGGGAGCGUUCUGUAAGCGGUUGAGGUGUGUGGUAACGCAUGCUGGACGUAUCAAAGUGCGAAUGCUGACAUGAGUAACGAUAAAGGGGUGAAAAACCUCCUCGCCGGAAGACCAAGGGUUCCUGUCCAACGUUAACUCGGGCAGGGUAAGUCGACCCCUAAGGCGAGGCCGAAGGCGUAGUCGAUGGGAAACGGGUUAAUAUUCCCGUAUUCUACAUUGCGAUGGGGGACGGAAGAAGGCUAGGUGGCCUGGCGACGGUUGUCCAGGUUCAAGUGCGUAGGCUUAAGAGUUAGGUAAAUCCGGCUCUUUCUAAGGCUGAGACACGACGUCGAGCACCUACGGGUGUGAAGUCAUUGAUGCCAUGCUUCCAGGAAAAGCCUCUAAGCUUCAGAUUGUAAGGAAUCGUACCCCAAACCGACACAGGUGGUCGGGUAGAGAAUACCAAGGCGCUUGAGAGAACUCGGGUGAAGGAACUAGGCAAAAUGGUACCGUAACUUCGGGAGAAGGUACGCUCUUGAUGGUGAAGUCCCUUGCGGAUGGAGCUGACGAGAGUCGCAGAUACCAGGUGGCUGCAACUGUUUAUUAAAAACACAGCACUGUGCAAAAUCGUAAGAUGACGUAUACGGUGUGACGCCUGCCCGGUGCCGGAAGGUUAAUUGAUGGGGUUAGACUUCGGUCGAAGCUCUUGAUCGAAGCCCCGGUAAACGGCGGCCGUAACUAUAACGGUCCUAAGGUAGCGAAAUUCCUUGUCGGGUAAGUUCCGACCUGCACGAAUGGCGUAAUGAUGGCCACGCUGUCUCCACCCGAGACUCAGUGAAAUUGAAUCGCUGUGAAGAUGCAGUGUACCCGCGGCUAGACGGAAAGACCCCGUGAACCUUUACUACAGCUUGGCACUGAACAUUGACCCUACAUGUGUAGGAUAGGUGGGAGGCUUUGAAGCACGUACGCCAGUAUGUGUGGAGCCGUCCUUGAAAUACCACCCUUGUAGUGUUGAUGUUCUAACGUCGACCCCUUAUCGGGGUUGCGGACAGUGCCUGGUGGGUAGUUUGACUGGGGCGGUCUCCUCCCAAAGAGUAACGGAGGAGCACGAAGGUGGGCUAAUCACGGUUGGACAUCGUGAGGUUAGUGCAAUGGCAUAAGCCCGCUUGACUGCGAGAAUGACAAUUCGAGCAGGUGCGAAAGCAGGUCAUAGUGAUCCGGUGGUUCUGAAUGGAAGGGCCAUCGCUCAACGGAUAAAAGGUACUCCGGGGAUAACAGGCUGAUACCGCCCAAGAGUUCAUAUCGACGGCGGUGUUUGGCACCUCGAUGUCGGCUCAUCACAUCCUGGGGCUGAAGUCGGUCCCAAGGGUAUGGCUGUUCGCCAUUUAAAGUGGUACGCGAGCUGGGUUUAGAACGUCGUGAGACAGUUCGGUCCCUAUCUGCCGUGGGCGUUGGAAGAUUGAAGGGGGCUGCUCCUAGUACGAGAGGACCGGAGUGGACGAACCUCUGGUGUUCGGGUUGUGUCGCCAGACGCAUUGCCCGGUAGCUAAGUUCGGAAUCGAUAACCGCUGAAAGCAUCUAAGCGGGAAGCGAGCCCUGAGAUGAGUCUUCCCUGAUACUUUAAGUAUCCUAAAGGGUUGUCGGAGACUACGACGUUGAUAGGUCAGGUGUGUAAGUGCUGUGAGGCAUUGAGCUAACUGAUACUAAUUGCCCGUGAGGCUUAACCAU